AGGAUAAACGCUGGCGGCGUGCCUAACACAUGCAAGUCGAACGCGCUUUCGGGCUUCGGUGCGAGAGCGAGUGGCGGACGGGUGAGUAACACAUGGGUACCUGCCUUUCAGUGAGGGAUACCGGCGAGAAAUCGCCGACAAUACCGCAUGGGCUUGUGGGAACACAAGCAAAGUGGCGCAAGCCACGCUGGAAGAUGGGCCUGUGGCCGAUUAGCUAGUUGGGGGGGUAAUGGCCUCCCAAGGCGACGAUCGGUAGCUGGUCUGAGAGGACGAUCAGCCACACUGGGAUUGAGAACGGCCCAGACUCCUACGGGGGGCAGCAGUGAGGAAUUUUCCGCAAUGGACGAAAGUCUGACGGAGCAACGCCGCGUGCAGGAGGAAGGUUUCGGAUCGUAAACUGCUUUUCUCGGGGACGAGCAAGGACGGUACCCGGAGGAAGAAGCCCGGCUAACUACGCGCCAGCAGCCGC
rnacentral:rRNA from 1 species